rnacentral:rRNA from 1 species
UCUUUCGCGAAGCCCUUCGGGGGGAGUAAGUGGCGGAAGGGUGAUUAUGUGUGGGAAUCUGCCCUGCAGCGGGGGAUAACCCGGGGAAACUCGGGCUAAUACCGCAUACGACCUACGGGUGAAAGGGGGCUUCGGCUCUCACUGCAGGAUGAGCCCACAUCCGAUUAUCUUGUUGGUGGGGUAACGGCCUACCAAGGCAACGAUCGGUAGCUGGUCUGAGAGGAUGAUCAGCCCACUGGGACUGAGACACGGCCCAGACUCCUACGGGAGGCAGCAGUGGGGAAUAUUGGACAAUGGGCGAAAGCCUGAUCCAGCAAUGCCGCGUGUGUGAAUAAGGCCUGCGGGUUGUAAAGCACUUUCAUCGAGUAAGAAAAGCCUGUGGUUAUUACCCAUGGGUCUUGACGUUACUCGCAGAAAAGCACCAGCUAAACUCCGUGCCAACAGCCG